rnacentral:rRNA from 1 species
AGAAGUUAAUAAGGGCGUACGGAGGAUGCCUGGGCAACAAGAGCCGAAGAAGGACGUGGUACACUGCGAAAAGCCUCGGGGAGCCGUGUGCAGGCGGAGAGCCGGGGAUGUCCGAAUGGGGAAACCCGCGUCAGAGGACCUGACGCACCAGCGGGUGAACACAUAGCCCGUUAGGGGGGAACGCGGGGAACUGAAACAUCUUAGUACCCGCAGGAAGAGAGAGGAUUCCCUGAGUAGUGGCGAGCGAAAGGGGAGGAGCCCAAACCCGUCGUGACUGAGUGGCAUAAGGGCCUAAGUCACGCGGGGGUUGUGGACCUGACAGAGCCGGGCCUUAUCCUGGCGACGGAGUGAGCAAAGGGGAUGCUAGUCGAAGCGCACUGGAAAGGCGCGUCAGAGAAGGUGAGAGCCCUGUAGACGAAAGCGUUUCCUCUCCGGUCAGGCACCAGAGUACCACCGGGCACGCUAAUCCGGUGGGAAGCGGGGCAGGCCACUGCCCAAGGCUAAAUACUCUUGUUGACCGAUAGUGAACCAGUACCGUGAGGGAAAGGUGAAAAGCACCCCGGCGAGGGGAGUGAAAAGAACCUGAAACCGUACGCUUACAAGCAGUCGGAGGACGAUCCUCCUAAGGGAGGGCGUUUGACGGCGUGCCUUUUGGAGAAUGAGCCAGCGAGUUACUUUUGGUGGCGAGGUUAAGGCAGGGACAGCCGGAGCCGUAGGGAAACCGAGUCCGAAGAGGGCGGAGAGUCGCCAGGAGUAGACACGAAACCAGGUGAGCUACCCAUGGGCAGGCUGAAGCGGGGUUAGACCCCCGUGGAGGGCCGAACCUUUCACUAUUGCAAAAGUGUGGGAUGACCUGUGGGUAGGGGUGAUAUGCCAAACGAACUUGGAGAUAGCUUGUUCUCCCCGAAAUAGCUUUAGGGCUAGCCCGGCGUGGUGAAUAGAGGAGGUAGAGCGCUGGAUGGGCAAGGGGGCUUACGCCUACCGACCCCAACCAAACUACGAAUGCCUUUAUUAAAGAGCGUCGGAGUCGGACUACGAAUGAUGAGAUCCGUAGUCGAGAGGGAAAGAGCCCAGACCAUCGGCUAAGGUCCCGGAGUAGGUACUAAGUGGGAAACGCUGUGAGCGUGCUGAGACAGCCAGGAGGUUGGCCUAGAAGCAGCCAUCCUUUAAAGAGUGCGUAAUAGCUCACUGGUCAAGCGCGGUUGCGCGGAAAAUGUAACGGGGCUGAAGUACCUUACCGAAGCCAUGGCUAUGCGAGAGCAUAGGGUAGGGGAGCGUUCUGUGGGCAGAGAAGCCGUACCGGAAGGAGCGGUGGAGCGCACAGGAGUGAGAAUGCUGGCAUGAGUAGCGCGAAACACGUGAGAACCGUGUUCGCCGAAAGCCCAAGGGUUCCGACGGAAGGGCGAUCCCCGUCGGGUGAGUCGGGCCUAAGCCGAGGCUGAAGAGCGUAGGCGAUGGACAUCCGGUUAAGAUUCCGGAACCGCCAGAAGGGAGUGAAGGGGGGACGCAGCAGGGGAGGUCAGCCGGGGGAUGGAAGACCCGGUGCCAAGCGUGAAGGACGAAGAGGGGAACAGGGAAAACCGUUUCCGGAGUUCGAGGCGUGAUGGCGUGCCGUAGGCAAGAAGUGACUGGGCUCAGCUGCCAAGAAAAGCCUCUAAGCGAAGAAGUUCUGGCGUCCGUACCGCAGACCGACACAGGUGGGCAGGUAGAGGAUACCAAGGCGAACGGGAGAACCCUCGUUAAGGAAUUAGGCAAAUUAGCCCCGUAACUUCGGGAGAAGGGGCGCCUCUGGGGGUGAGCUAUAAGCAUAGGGAGCCCGUGGAGGCCGCAGAGGAAUGGCUCUAGUGACUGGUUACCAAAACCACAGGUCUCUGCAAACGCGGAAGCGGCAGUAUAGGGGCUGACACCUGCCCAGUGCCGGAAGGUUAAAGGGAGGGGUAAGCGGAAGCGAAGCUCUGAACUGAAGCCCCGGUGAACGGCGGCCGUAACUAUAACGGUCCUAAGGUAGCGAAAUUCCUUGUCGGGUAAGUUCCGACCCGCACGAAAGGUGUAACAACUAGAGCACUGUCUCAACGAGGGGCCCGGCGAAAUUGAAGACGCGGUAAAGAUGCCGUGUACCCGCAGCAGGACAAAAAGACCCCGUGGAGCUUUACUGCAGUUUGGCACUGGAUUAGGGUUGCGUUUGUGUAGGAUAGGUGGGAGGCGGAGAAGCUGGGACGCGAGUUUCGGUGGAGCCGACGGUGAAAUACCACCCUGGCGCAACUUUGAUUCUAACCUAGGCCCGUGAACCGGGUUGGGGACCGUGCCAGGCGGGCAGUUUGACUGGGGUGGUCGCCUCCCAAAAGGUAACGGAGGCGCUCAAAGGUUCCCUCAGGUGGCAUGGAAACCCACCGGAGAGUGCAAAGGCAAAAGGGAGCUUGACUGUGAGGCUGACCAGCCGAGCAGGGACGCAAGUCGGACUUAGUGAUCCCACGGUACCGAGUGGAAGGGCCGUGGCUUACCGGAUAAAAGCUACCCCGGGGAUAACAGGGUGGUGAGGCCCAAGAGUUCACAUCGACGGCCUCGCUCGCCACCUCGAUGUCGGCUCGUCACAUCCUGGGGCUGGACAAGGUCCCAAGGGUUGGACUGUUCGUCCAUUAAAGUGGCACGCGAGCUGGGUUCAGACCGUCGUGAGACAGGUCGGUCUCUAUCCGCUGUGGGCGAAGGGGAUUUGAGGGGAGCUGCCUUCAGUACGAGAGGACCAGGGUGGACGGACCGCUGGUGUGCCAGUUGUGGCGCCAGCCGCAUCGCUGGGUAGCCAGGUCCGGCAGGGAUAACCGCUGAAAGCAUCUAAGUGGGAAGCCCGCCCCAAGAUGAGAUCCCCCACACCGGGAAGGUGGUAAGACCGCGGGAAGACGACCCGUUAGAUAGGCAGGGAGUGGAAGCGUUGUAAAGCGUGGAGCUAACCUGUACUAAAGGUCGAGGGCUUCUUCCG